rnacentral:rRNA from 1 species
UACGAUCACCGAAGUUAAGCAACGUCGAGCCUUGUCAGUACCUAGAUGGGUGACCGCUUGGGAAUAACAGUUGCUGCAAG